AUUGAACGCUGGCGGCAGGCUUAACACAUGCAAGUCGAGCGGGGUGAUGGUGCUUGCACUAUCACUUAGCGGCGGACGGGUGAGUAAUGCUUAGGAAUCUGCCUAUUAGUGGGGGACAACAUCUCGAAAGGGAUGCUAAUACCGCAUACGUCCUACGGGAGAAAGCAGGGGAUCACUUGUGACCUUGCGCUAAUAGAUGAGCCUAAGUCGGAUUAGCUAGUUGGUGGGGUAAAGGCCUACCAAGGCGACGAUCUGUAGCGGGUCUGAGAGGAUGAUCCGCCACACUGGGACUGAGACACGGCCCAGACUCCUACGGGAGGCAGCAGUGGGGAAUAUUGGACAAUGGGCGGAAGCCUGAUCCAGCCAUGCCGCGUGUGUGAAGAAGGCCUUUUGGUUGUAAAGCACUUUAAGCGAGGAGGAGGAGCUCUAGGUUAAUACCCUAGAAGCUUGGACGUUACUCGCAGAAUAAGCACCGGCUAACUCUGUGCCAGCCGCCGCAGUAA
rnacentral:rRNA from 1 species